rnacentral:rRNA from 1 species
AGAGUUUGAUCCUGGCUCAGAUUGAACGCUGGCGGAAUGCUUUACACAUGCAAGUCGAACGGCAGCACGGGUGCUUGCACCUGGUGGCGAGUGGCGAACGGGUGAGUAAUGCGUCGGAACGUACCGAGUAAUGGGGGAUAACGCAGCGAAAGUUGUGCUAAUACCGCAUACGCCCUCCGGGGGAAAGCAGGGGAUCUUCGGACCUUGCGCUAUUCGAGCGGCCGACGUCUGAUUAGCUAGUUGGUGAGGUAAUGGCCCACCAAGGCGACGAUCAGUAGCGGGUCUGAGAGGAUGAUCCGCCACACUGGGACUGAGACACGGCCCAGACUCCUACGGGAGGCAGCAGUGGGGAAUUUUGGACAAUGGGGGCAACCCUGAUCCAGCCAUUCCGCGUGAGUGAAGAAGGCCUUCGGGUUGUAAAGCUCUUUCAGCAGGAACGAAACGGUGUGCUCUAACAUAGCGCGCUAAUGACGGUACCUGCAGAAGAAGCACCGGCUAACUACGUGCCAGCAGCCGCGGUAAUACGUAGGGUGCGAGCGUUAAUCGGAAUUACUGGGCGUAAAGCGUGCGCAGGCGGAUUGUUAAGCAAGACGUGAAAUCCCCGGGCUUAACCUGGGAAUGGCGUUUUGAACUGGCAGUCUAGAGUGUGUCAGAGGGGGGUAGAAUUCCACGUGUAGCAGUGAAAUGCGUAGAGAUGUGGAGGAAUACCGAUGGCGAAGGCAGCCCCCUGGGAUAACACUGACGCUCAUGUACGAAAGCGUGGGUAGCAAACAGGAUUAGAUACCCUGGUAGUCC